rnacentral:tRNA from 1 species
GGGGCCGUAGUCUAGCCUGGUUAGGACGCACGGCUUGGACGCCACCACUGGGUACAGUUUGCAUUGCCCAGUGGGGUGGGGCAUGCCCGUGUGAUCCCGGGUUCAAAUCCCGGCGGCCCCA